GUGGGCCUUUCUUUUAGGUGUCUAAAAUAAAUUUUGCGGCUGGCCUCGUCCACAGCAGUACAUUGCUUUGGUUACAUGCGAUAACUCCUGUCUGCUUCUCCAAACCGGGGGUGUGCCGACCGUCAUCUGAAUUCAUGUAUUUCAUGUUUCAAUUCAAUUGCUUUAUCUAAGUCAGUAUGGCCCUCUGGAAAAAAAAAUGUUACCCACCCCUGAUAUAGAGAGAUAAUUACUGAAUUAUUUGCUUGGAUAGGUAUCAAUUUAACACUCUCCUUUCCCCUAUAGUAGCAGCAAAUUACAUAAACCUUUGAAGUAAACUUUCCAGGAAAUUUGGAAAUUGAUUUGGAAAUUUCAGACCUGUAUGUUACAGAAAUACCGGACAUACAGUCUGCAAAAUGUCCAGAUAUGUUUGGAAAUAUUACACAGUCCUCUGUAAAGAUGUAUGACUUGUAGAGUCACUGACAUUUCAUGUGAUGAGUUGUUAAAGAAACAUUUUCACCUAAAGUGUUUGAUUUAGUUUAGGCAACAUCAGACGACUGCACUGAAAUGUUCAAGUCCAGAAAUGAAUUCUGCAAUUUUUUGUCUUUUAAAUAAACGGUAAAAUCUUCUCUUCUUUUUGACAACAUUAACAGUAUAUAGUAACACAUGAUAUGAAGCGCAGAGGAAACUUUUGGCCAAUGCAACAUGGGAUAAAACUCUUGUACAUUUUGUACAGAUGGUUUUGAAUUCUCCAGAGAACUGAAGUAUAAAGUUAGUGGUACUUGAAUGAUUAAAUAAGCUUUUGUAUAUGCUGUUCUUUGUAUCCUACAGUAGUUUUAGCCCAUUUUAUAUUGCCUCUCUGUAUACCAGUAAACAUGUACUGUAUAUUCUACCUGUAAUAUGUAAGAACUUCAAUAUACAUGGACUGAGGAUUCAUCACC